UGGAUGUUGCAUCUUUUGGAAUUCUAGGAGGGGUCAUAUCGUCUUUACAUACCUAAUGCACUUUUAUGUCAUGUUCUUGUAUUCCUGGUGUUUGUCACAUUGGUGUCUAGUUGAGUACCUUCUGGCAAAGCUAGUUUCUGCAAAAUUUAGCGUCUUGCUGCUAUGUUGGCUUUUAUUCACAGUUUGUUUUUUCUUUUGUUAGUUUGAGUGUCAUGAUGUAUUGACUCGACAUGAGCUACGGUGACUUAGAUUUUGUGAUGAGUUAUGCCUUUUAACGCGACAACUCCCUUUGGGUGACAUAACGGAAAUAGACUCUUGUGGACAAUAUAGACCGUCUCAAUAUGCCUUGAUCAUUCAGUGACCAAUAAAUUAUUUGACAAAUUUUUAUCACAUCUAGUUUGAUCUCAUUCGAUAGGGUAAAUAACACAAAACAUCCCUAUCUUUCAAUGUAAUUAUGCAAAACGUUCAUAUCUUUCAUUUUUUAACAUUUUUACCCCUAUUUCCACAUUUCAUUCCACAAUAGGUCAUUUUAAUUCAUUUUUCCAAUAAAAAAGACAAUUUUACCAUACUAUUCAAAUAAAACAAAAAGAAAUGAAAUGAAAUAAACUAAUUGCAACAAUAGUCCCGAAUUUUCAAAAAAAUACAAAUUAGUCACAAAUAUAUAAUUAAAAAUCAAAAUUAAAUAAACAAAAAUUAGUCAUGUUCUUCCUUCACACACAUUUUUUAUUUACAUUAAUUUUUUCUGUAAUUAAUAACAGACACAUAAGCCCAUUUUGUAGAAUUAAACAUCCAUAUGCCCCUUUGGUGUAAUUUCACUUCAGUAUAAUCCUCGAGGUCUGAAAUUUAGUGUUUAUUUCUUGGAAAUUCCACUUGGUUAUCUUGAAAUUUUUAGGUUAUUUUUCGAAAGGGAUCUUGAAGGAUGAUUAUGAAAGAUGAUAAAAAUGGUGAAAAGAUCCUCUUUUUGAAACAUGGUGAGAAGGAGGCUUUCAGAUAUUACUAAUUCUGUGCCAAAUCCCAACUCUCUUGCGAUUGCGGAGUAAGCUGCCUUCAGAUUCUGCUUUUGACAAAGAUUACAUCGACCAACUUGUUAAGGUAAUUUGUUCUGCAUUUUCUGUAUACAUCAUAUCUAUUAGCUUUUGAUUUAACUUUCUCUUUGAUAAUUAUUUUGUGUGAUUUAUGGAUUUUUGGAACAGGAAAACAUCGGAUUGGUGAAAUUAUUGAAGACAAAAAGUACUUUUUCUUUACUUUCUUGCUGUGUCUGUGUGUUACCUUGAAUUGCAUAUUUGGUUUCCCUUUGUUUUUAACUUAGGAUCCGUUUGAUUGCGAAGAUGGAAUUGAAUUGAAUUGAAAACGAAUUCUAGAAAAUUGAAUUGCCUAAAAAUUGUUUUAAUGGGAAUUGUAAAUUAUUGUGUUUGAUUGGUAUAAUUUUUCAUGCG
rnacentral:lncRNA from 1 species